ensembl:lncRNA
CUGGACCAAGGUGCAGCAUGGCACACUGUCUUUAUACGAUCAGCCAUGGAUACCACCAGACACCCAAAGUCCAUUUCUUAGUUCCUGUGACCUCUUGUAAGCGCCGUUGAUUUCCUGAUGUCUUGAUAGCAUUUGAUCAACAUGUCCUUGAGAAGUGUAACCCUGCUUGGAAAGAAGGUGCAACACCCAUGUGUCCUGAUUCAACCGACCCUUGGUCCACAGACGACGCAAUCGCAACCACACUGCACACUGCCCUAACCCAUCUGGACAAGAGGAAUACCUAUGUGAGAAUGUUGUUCAUCAACUACAGCUCAGCAUUUAACACCAUAGUACCCUCAACUCGUCAUCAAGCUCGAGACCCUGGGUCUCGACCCCCGCCCUGUGCAACUGGGUACUGGACUUCCAGACGGGCCGCCCCCAGGUGGUGAGGGUAGGUAAAUACAUCUCCACCCCGCUGAUCCUCAACACUGGGGCCCCACAAGGGUGCGUUCUGAGCCCUCUCCUGUACUCCCUGUUCACCCAGGACACCUACACCACCCAAUGUCACAGGAAGGCCUUAAAGAUCAUCAAGGACAACAUCCACCCGAGCAACUGCCUGCUCACCCUGCUGUCAUCCAGAAGGUGAGGUCAGUACAGGUGCAUCAAAGCAGGGACCGAGAGACUGAAACAGCUUCUAUCUCAAGGCCAUCAGACUGUUAAACAGCCACCACUAACAUUGAGUGGCUGCUGCCAACAUACUGACUCAACUCCAGGC